AUCGUUCAUGGACGCUCGGGGGCGUCCGUGACACCACAGACAGACCGUGCCCUGGGAAGAUCUGGGCACUUCAGGGCGUU
rnacentral:sRNA from 25 species